rnacentral:lncRNA from 1 species
UACAGGUUGGAAUUGGCUGUGAUUAGUCCACAUGUGGGAUCCAGGCCCACCACCAUGGCAGAGUGCAGAGAAGAACUUGAGACUUCUGUCCCCAACUCAGUCUCCUACGGAAAGCUCAGCCCAUGGGGCAGAAGAGUGACUGGUAGCUGCUCCCUUCCCCCAAGACAACCUUGUCUCUGAAUUGGCUUUGACCAAUGGGGUGCAGUGCUGGGUAACAGCUGCCCAGACUGAGAUGUGACCACUCUUCAACAGGACGGACCCAGCAGUGGAGAUGAAGAGCUCCUACCCUGCAGGAUAAGAUGAGGGUGCUCAGCUGCUCAGCUGGGGUGGGGGGUCAGGGCAGUAGGGCCUGGCUGGGGCAGGCUGGAAGUUGGGUCUACCACAGAGAGAGGGGUUCAGAAUGCUGCCCCAGUACUGUCCUGCUCCCCACCCUGGUAAAGAGAAGAGCAGGGAGAUUGGGUGUCCAGGAGGAGCUCGGGAGUUGCCAGAGGUGACUGAAGGAACUAGACCCUUUGCAGGGGGGUGCCAACCUUCUUCUACCUAGUACUGACCAGAGCCGUCACUAAUCAGUGGGGCCUUCUGUCAGGGCUACCACCAAAGGUGAAUAAGUAAGCUGUAAAUGAAGCAAGGCUAGUCACCCUGAAAUUCCAUCACACGAUUCUCAGGCCAUUGCACGCAGGCCAUCCCAGGACUUCUGUGACAUCUGUGGGAGGAAGUGGACAUUAAAUUAGAUCAGGCUCACUUCCUGCCCAAAUGGCAAAAAGUGCUCCAGAAAAUUAGGAGCACUUUUGCCUGCUGUCCUCAGGGAUCCCCAGGUGGCUUCUCUGAGCCAUGAUCCCUAGAAAAAGCAUGGUUUCUCUUUUUCAAGGAGGGAUGGGCUUGGUUAGUGGUCUUGAGAUUCACAGACAUGUAUUAUCAGACCCGAUUACAGAGGCCCCAGGGCUCUCCUACUUCUGGUUUUGAGGUGGCAAUGUUUGGGGGGGACUCUUUUCCAAUUGAGCUCCUUGUUAACAUUCAUGCUCCUCAACAGAAGUGCUUCAACUGGUGAGCAGCCAAGUCUACUGCCAAGGAGAGUCCCCUGCACCCGUGUUCACGGCAGCAUUAGUCGCAAUAGCCCGAGGGCAGGGGCCUGCCAGUGUGCACCACUGGAUGAAUGAGGAACCAGAAUGUGGGGGGUGUGAAAACACACACAUACACACACACACACACGUAUAUGAGUAGAUGUAUAUAGACACAUAUUAUUUAUAAUGAUUAUUGUGUAUGUAUAUGUUGUGUUUUAGAUGUGGUAUCCCCCAACAGCUCACAUGUGAGACAAGGCAAGAAGGUUCAGAGGAGAAAUGAUUGGGUUGUGAGUCUUAACCCAAUCAGUGAAUUAAUCCCCUGAUAGGGAUUAACCGAGAACUAACUAAGGUGGUAGUGGGUGGCUGGAGGAGGUGGGAAUUGGGGCAUGGCUUGGGGGUAUAUAUUUUGUGUCUAGAGAGUGGCGUCUGUCUCUCUGCUUCUGAUCACCAAGAUGUGACCUGCUUCCCUCUGCCACACACUCUGCCAUGAUGUUCAGCCUCACCUGGAGCCCAAGGAAUGGAGCCAAACUUCUACGGACGGAGACCUCUGAAACUGCGAGCUCUCAAAUAAACUUCCUCCUCUACAAUUGCUCUGGUCAGAUCGUUUAGCCACAGCAGCGAAAAAGCUGACUAAAACAGUGUAUGUACAUACAUACGAUGGAAUAUUGUUCAGUUUUAAACAGGAAGGAAAUUCUAACACAUGACAUGAUGUGGAGGAACCUUGAGAACAUUAUGCUAACUGGAAGAAGUCAGUCCCAAAAGACAAAUGCUGCCCUACUCCAUUUAUAUGAGGUAUCCGGAGUUGUCACCUUUGUGGAGACAGAAAGUAGAAAGGUGGCUGCCAGGGAUAGAGAGGGUGGGGAACAGGGAGUUAUU